GAUGAACGCUAGCUACAGGCUUAACACAUGCAAGUCGAGGGGAAACGACAUCGAAAGCUUGCUUUUGAUGGGCGUCGACCGGCGCACGGGUGGGUAACGCGUAUCCAACCUGCCCAUCACUUGGGAAUAACCUUGCGAAAGUAAGACUAAUACCCAAUGACAUCCCACGAAGACAUCUGAAUGGGAUUACAGAUUUAUCUGUGAUGGAUGGGGAUGCGUCUGAUUAGCUUGUUGGCGGGGUAACGGCCCACCAAGGCAACGAUCAGUAGGGGUUCUGAGAGGAAGGUCCCCCACAUUGGAACUGAGACACGGUCCAAACUCAUACGGGAGGCAGCAGUGAGGAAUAUUGGUCAAUGGGCGAGAGCCUGAACCAGCCAAGUAGCGUGCAGGAUGACGGCCCUAUGGGUGGUAAACUGCUUUUAGAAGGGAAUAAAGUGGGUCUAGUGAGACUUUUUGCAUGUACCUUAUGAAUAAGGACCGGCUAAUUCCGUG
rnacentral:rRNA from 1 species